GUGGGGAAUAUUCCGCAAUGGACGAAAGUCUGACGGAGCAACGCCGCGUGAGUGAUGAAGGUUUUCGGACUGUAAAGCUCUGUUGUUUAGGACGAAAGUGCCUGUUGCGAACAGUUACAGGUAUUGACGGUACUGAACGAGGAAGCCACGGCUAACUACGUGCCAGCAGCCGCGGUAAUACGUAGGUGGCAAGCGUUGUCCGGAAUUAUUGGGCGUAAAGAGCAUGUAGGCGGGAAUCUAAGUCUGUUGUGAAAAUGCGGGGCUCAACCCCGUAUGGCGAUGGAAACUGGAUUUCUUGAGUGCAGGAGAGGAAAGGGGAAUUCCCAGUGUAGCGGUGAAAUGCGUAGAUAUUGGGAGGAACACCAGUGGCGAAGGCGCCUUUCUGGACUGUGUCUGACGCUGAGAUGCGAAAGCCAGGGUAGCGAACGGGAUUAGAAACCCGAGUAGUCC
rnacentral:rRNA from 1 species